GACGAACGCUGGCGGCGUGCCUAAUACAUGCAAGUCGAACGCAGUGGGGACGGGUGAGUAACACGUGGGUAACCUCCCAUCAGAGGGGAUAACACUUGGAAACAGGUGCUAAACCGAUACUGAUGGAUGGACCCGCGGUGCAUUAGCUAGUUGGGGAGGUAACGGCGAACCAAGGCCACGAUGCAUAGGCGACCUGAGAGGGUGAUCGGCCAAACUGGGACUGAGAAACGGCCCAGACCCCGACGGGAGGCAGAAGUAGGGAAUCUUCGGCAAUGGAUGAAAUCCUGACCGCGCAACGCCGCGGGAGUGAAGAAGGUUUUCGGAUCGUAAACCUAUGUUGUUAGAGAAGCGGUAUCUAACCAGAAAGCCACGGCUAACUACGUGCCAGCAGACGAGGUAAUAG
rnacentral:rRNA from 1 species